UCUGUAAUCUUCCUGCUUUCACAUGCUGAAAAUUGUAUUUAUCUCGUUAUUAGUAGAUCGGUUUUUGUUAUUAAUCCAUUGAGUAUCAUAGUGUUCUUGUUGUGCAGUCGAAUUUUCUUUUCUUUUUUGUUUUAGUUUCUUUAAGUUUCUCUUUCUGUAAUCUUUUAUUUCUCUUUUCAUUCUAGUUGGUAUUUGACUUCGGCAGGUCUAGACACUACUGUUGGUAGGGUUUGUGAAAGGCCAAGCAUCUGUAUAGGUAGCUCAUCUGUUUUAUCAAGCAUCAAAAGGAUUUGAAGGUGGUUUUAUCAUGUGCCCCAUGACAUAAUGACGUUUUAGGUCUUCAACCGGGCCCGAUGAAUGGACAUCGAACACAAGUUCUUUGGUAGGUAGGAAACAAAAAUUUGGAAUCGAAGUCGCAAUCUACCUAUAAAAUUACUUGAAUGAAAGAGUUGAAGUGGCAUGUAGUGCUAAACGGGGAGAUUCAUUUCUACCUAUGUAUUGUUAUUGUCUUUUGUUUUAGUCAACAAAGUCAGUGGUACAUAAACCAAAUGUAAGCAUGGCAAAAAUCCCAGAACUCUUGAAUUUCCUGUAUGUAUAGAAAUUCAACCAAAAGCUGACAUCAAUGAAUCACCUAACUCUUUUGUCUUCACAUUCAGUUAAGAAAACAGUCUCUAAAGUUGAUAUCGGAAAGCUCUAAAUAAAGGUGUGGUGGCGAAGUUUGCUCCUACUAAAUCUUGCCGUUUAUGUAGCAGGAGGAGAUGGAAGAAAAUGGCGCGGUCUGGAAUAAGCGAUGAAGUGCAGAAUAAUGAGGAUGAAACAUUAUAGAUAGACAUUCAAAAGAGAUUCUUAAUUUAGAAAAAAA
rnacentral:lncRNA from 1 species